GCCUCUUUAUAGCAAUUAUUGUAUAAUUAGAAACACUGGACUGCUUCUUUGUAGCAGGACGAGGAAUAA
rnacentral:lncRNA from 1 species